CCCUUAGAUGUCCUGGGCCGCACGCGCGCUACACUGACAUGUUCAACAAGCCUCCUAGUUCGACAGGAUUUGGGAAAUCUUUGAACGCAUGUCGUGAUAGGGAUAGAUCAUUGCAAUUAUUGAUCUUGAACGAGGAAUUCCUAGUAAACGCGAGUCAUCAGCUCGCAUUGAUUACGUCCCUGCCCUUUGUACACACCGCCCGUCGCACCUACCGAUUGAAUGAUCCGAUGAAUAUCAUGGAUUGAGGAUGCAAGUAGGUUCGCCUAUCUUCAUCUUCGAGAAGUGAAGUAAAUCUUAUCAUUUAGAGGAAGGAGAAGUCGUAACA
rnacentral:rRNA from 1 species